UUUAAGAUUCCCUUUGUCGUCUAAAAGAAGAUUCUCCGGUUUGAGGUCACGGUGGUAAACACCGCACCCGUGGCAGAACGAAACAGAGGAGACCAGCUGUUGGAAAUAUCUACGAGCCGUUUCUUCCGGCAAUCUACCUUUAGCCACCGCGUUGAAUAACUCACCGCCACGAACGUACUCCAUCACGAAGUAAAUCUUUGUCUUCGUAGCCAUAACUUCGAAUAGGUGAACGAUGUAAGGGUGACGAACACGGCGGAGGAUCGAGAUUUCCCGUUUAAUGUGAGCAACCAAACCGCUCUUCAUGAUCUUCUCCUUGUCGAUGACUUUAAUGGCGACUUUGUCUCCAGACUUUAUGUUUUGAGCUAAAUAAACCUUAGCGAAGCUUCCGUGACCAAGAAGCUUCCCUAGCUCGUACUUUCCCAUGAGAAUGUUGUUUCUUGGGCUCCUAGGACUCCUCGGACUCUGUGGGCUGACGUUACCAUCUUUGUCUGUGUCCUUUAUACCAAUCCGGCCAAGAA